UACGUAGGGUGCGAGCGUUAAUCGGAAUUACUGGGCGUAAAGCGUGCGCAGGCGGUUUUGUAAGCCAGAUGUGAAAUCCCCGGGCUUAACCUGGGAAUGGCAUUUGGGACUGCAAGGCUGGAGUUUGGCAGAGGAGACUGGAAUUCCUGGUGUAGCAGUGAAAUGCGUAGAUAUCUGGAGGAACACCGGUGGCGAAGGCGGCAUCCUGGACCGACACUGACGCUGAGGAGCGAAAGCCAGGGGAGCAAACGGG
rnacentral:rRNA from 1 species